UACGAAGGGGGCUAGCGUUGCUCGGAAUCACUGGGCGUAAAGGGUGCGUAGGCGGGUCUUUUAAGUCAGGGGUGAAAUCCUGGGGCUCAACUCCAGAACUGCCUUUGAUACUGAGGAUCUUGAGUUCGGGAGAGGUGAGUGGAACUGCGAGUGUAGAGGUGAAAUUCGUAGAUAUUCGCAAGAACACCAGUGGCGAAGGCGGCUCACUGGCCCGAUACUGACGCUGAGGCACGAAAGCGUGGGGAGCAAACAGG
rnacentral:rRNA from 1 species